GUAGUUCCCACUUAGCUAGGUGGACAUGGUACAAAGCCACAUUACCACGCUAAGUGUGGCUUUGAUUUUUAGAAACAACCGCCUCAUGCUAAGUCUAGGGAAUACAGUGGUUGAAUGGGGUGAGUGCUGACCUUUAGCUAUUCUGGAGGAACAUGUCACUUUCACUUAUUUUCUUUCAUGCUUUCCCACACAGUGCUAUGGACUCUGAUCGCCCAACCAGAGCAAACCCAGAAGGACAACUCUCCAAGCCUUUCAAUCACUCCCACUAACCAACCCGUAGUGUGGACACACUAUUGUGAGGCCUACUAAGGAUGUACUGCUGAUGACCUUUUGAAGGCCAGUGGACCUGCUCUGCAGACCCAGGCUCCUCUCCCAUGGAGCAUCCCAGGUCUGCCCUUAUGGGAAGAAGCAGGAGCCCUGUCUGGCUGUACCCCAAGCUGCUUUCUCUGGACCAAUGAUGUCAGCAAUAGAGCAAACAAGCCAAACAGCAGCUUGAAAAAUGCUUUCUACUUGCACAUACCCUCUUGCUGCAGGGAACCCUUCCACCAUCAUGUGAAGAAGCGUGGUCUAGCCUGCUGGAGGAUGAGAGAUCACAUGGAAUGAGGCCAAAACCAUUCCAGCCAAAGCCCCAGUAAUAGAAUUAAGAUCAUCCAAGACCAUGGCAUCCCGCCUGAGAAGUUCAGAUGAGAAGGGCCACCUGAACAACCAACAGAAUCUUAAAAAGUAAAAAAUGAGUGUUACCACUAUGCAUCUAUUAGAAUGGCAGAAAUCGAAGACACUGACAACAGCAAAUGCUGGUGAGGGUGUGGAGCAACAGGAACUCUCACUCACUGAAGAUGGAAAUGCAAAAUAGUGCAGCUACUUUGGAAAACAGUUUGGCUGUUUCUUACAACACUAAACAUGCUAUUAUUAUAUGAUCCAGAAAUUGUGCUCCUUAGCACUUACCCAAAAAAGUUGAAAACUUAUGUACACACAAAAACCUGCACAUGGAUAUUUAUAGCAGUUUUUGAUAUGGUUUGGCUCUGUGUCCCCACAGAAAUCUCAUCUUGUAUUUGUAUAAAUUUAUGGGGUACAAGUGUAAUUUUGUCAACAUGCAUAGACAUGCAUAGACUGCAUAGCUCCCAUAAUUCCCACAUGUUGUGGGAGGGACCUGGUGGGAGGUGAUUGAAUCAUAGGGGCAGGUCUUUCCUGUCCUGUUCUUGUGAUAGUGAGUGGGUCUCACAAGAUCUGAUGGUUUUAAAUAACAGGAAUUUAUCUGCACAAGCUCUUUUAUUUUGCCUGCUGCCAUCCACAUAAUAUGUGACUUGCUCCUCCUUGCCUUCUACCAUGAUUGUGAGGCCUCCCCAGCCAUGUGGAACUGUAAAUUCAGUUAAAUCUCUUUCUUUUGUAAAUUGCCCAGUCUUGGGUAUGUCUUUAUCAGCAGAGUAAAUGUGGACCAAUACAGUAAAUUGGUAAAUUGGUACCAGUAGAGUGGGGUGUUGCUUAAAAUAUCCUCAAAAAUGUGGAAGUAACUUUGGAACUGGGUAACAGGCAGAGGAUGGAACAGUUUGGAGGGCUCAGAAGAAGACAGGAAAAUGUGGGAAAGUUUGGAACUUCCUAGAGACCUGUUGAGUGGCUUUGACAAAAAUGCUGAUAGUGAUAUGAACAAUAAGGACCAGGCUGAGGUGGUCUCAGAGGGAGAUGAGGAACUUGUUGAGAAAUGGAGCAAAGGUGACUCUUGUUAUGCUUUAGAAAAGAGACUGGUGCAUUUUGCCCCUGCCCUAGAGACUUGUGGAACUUUAAACUUGAGAGAGAUGAUUUAGGGUAUCUGGUGGAGGAAAUUUCUAAGCAGUAACGCAUUCAUGAGGUGACUUGGGUGCUGUUAAAGGCACUCAGUUUCAAAAUGGAAACAGAACAUAAAAGUUUGGGAAAUUUGCAGUCUGGCAACGCAAUAGAAAAUAAAAUCCCAUUUUCUGAAGAGAAAUUCAAGCUAGCUGCAGAAAUUUGCCUAAUAACGAGGAGCCAAAUGUUAAUCCCCAAGACAAUGGAGAAAAUGUCUCCAGGGCAUGUCAGAGGUCUUCACAGCAGCCUCUUCCAUCAAAGGCCCAGAGGCCUAGGAGGAAAAAAUGGUUUCCAAAGGCCCAGGGUUCCCAAUCUGUGUGCAGCCUAGGGACUUGGUGCCCUGCCUCUCAGCCGCUCCAGCCAUAGCUUCAGAGGGUGCAAGCCCCAAGCCUUGGCAGCUGCCACAUGGUGUUGAACCUGGGAGUGCACAGAAGUCAAGGAUUGAGGUUUGGGAACCUCCACCUAGGUUUCAGAGGAGGUAUGGAAAUGCCUGGAUGUCCAGUCAAGAGUCUGCUGCUGAGUGGGGCACCCAUGGAAACCCCUGCUAGGCCAGUGUGGAAGGGAAAUGUGGGAUGGAGGCCCCCACACAGAGUCCCCACUGGGGCACUGCCUAGUGGAACUGUGAGAAGAAGGCCACUGUCCUCCAGAUUCAAGAAUCUGGAGGUGGUCCUCCAGAUCCACCAACAACUUGCACCGUGCACCUGGAAAAGUUGAAGACACUCAACGCCAGCCCAUGAAAGCAACCACGAGGGAGGCUGUACCCUGCAAAGCCACAGGAGCAAAGCUAUCCAAAACCAUGGGAACCCACCUCUUACAUCAGCAUGACCUAGAUGUGAGAGAUGGAGUCAAAGGAGAUCAUUUUGGAACUUUAAGAUUCGACUGCCUUGCUGGAUUUUGGACUUGCAUGGGGCCUGUAACCCCUUUGUUUUGGCCAAUUUCUCCCAUUUGGAAUGACUGUAUUUACCCAAUGGCUGUACCCACAUUGUAUCUAGGAAGUAACUAACUUGCUUUUGAUUUUACAGACUCAUAGGUGGAAGGGACUUGCCUUGUCUCACAGGAGACGUUGGACUGUGGACUUUUGAGUUAAUGAUGAAAUGAGUUGAGACUUUGGGGGACUGUUGGGAAGGCAUGAUUGGUUUUGAAAGGUGAAGAUAUGAGAUUUGGGAGGGGCCGGGGUGGAAUGAUAUGGUUUGGCUCUGUGUCCCCACCCAAAUCUCAUCUUGUAGCUCCCAUAAUUCUCACAUGUGGGAGGGACUUGGUAGGAGAUGACUGAAUCAUGGGGAUGGGUCUUUCCCACACUGUUCUCAUGAUAGGGAAUGGGUCUCAUGAGAUCUGAUGGUUUUAAAAAACGGAAGUUUCUCUGUACAAGCUCUUUUGUUUUGCCUGCCACCAUUCACGGAAGAUGUGACUUGCUCCUCCUGCCUUCCACCAUGAUUGUGAGGCCUCCCCAGCCAUGUGGAACUGUAAGUCCAAUUAAACCUUUCUUUUGU
rnacentral:lncRNA from 1 species